rnacentral:rRNA from 1 species
UACGAAGGGUGCAAGCGUUACUCGGAUUUACUGGGCGUAAAGCGUGCGUAGGCGGUUUGUUAAGUCUGUCGUGAAAGCCCCGGGCUCAACCUGGGAAUGGCGAUGGAUACUGGCGAGCUAGAGUACGGUAGAGGAGAGUGGAAUUCCCGGUGUAGCAGUGAAACGCGUAGAGAUCAGGAAGAACACCGGUGGCGAAAGCGCUCUGCUGGACCUUAACUGACACUGAGGGACGAAAGCUAGGGGAGCGAAUGGG